rnacentral:rRNA from 1 species
AUGAGUGAGAGCAUCCUUGAGGGAGUGAGUGAGCCACAACACAUAGUGAGUGAGGUAGUUGACACGGCAUGUGAGGCCACUAUGAUUCCUAACGACUUAACCUCUACUCCUAGUGUGUUUUGUUUUUUGGUGCUAGGUCUCCUACAUGACGACAUGCCUAUCCUCGACGAGUCCAUCCCUCCAAAGGGAAAACCGAUGGCCAUGGUGGACGAUGAUGCACCCCCCACAUGGUUCCAUCAAGAUGAAGAUGACAACGAGACGAUCUUCAACACCUCACCUACAACACAUGAGCUACGCUCCAACGGUAACAUAGGUGAUGGUGCUUCUCUUGUCCCACUAGUGGACUCUCUUACCAUCGAUUGCUCUCGUGAUGUUGACCCACCUAUUCCCAUGCUUCUUGCUAGUGAGACUUCUUCCUGCCUUGACUUACCUAUUUAUGAUGAAUAUGAUGAUGAGCAUGUUGACUUGCCUAGUUGUGAUGCUAUGCUUCAUAGGAUAUAUUGUGGAAAUCCUAUUGGUCACUUCAUGUUUGACAACCCAUUGAACUUGUCAUAUGCUAUGAGUGAGAUCUCCCAUAUUGCAUCGUGA